rnacentral:rRNA from 1 species
GGGUGCGAUCAUACCAGCGUUAAUGCAUUAGAUCCCAUAAGAACUCCACAGUUAAGCGCACUUGUGCUAGAGUAGUACUGGGAUGGGUGAUCUCCUGGGAAGCCCCAGUGUUGCACCCU